GCUUUCCUGUGGCUCAGUUGGUAGAGCAUUGCACAGGUACAAUGCAAAGGUAAUGGGUUCAAUUCCCGGGGAAAGCA